rnacentral:rRNA from 1 species
AGCAGCCGCGGUAAUUCCAGCUCCAAUAGCGUAUAUUAAAGUUGUUGCAGUUAAAAAGCUCGUAGUUGAAUUUCGGGAUCAAUAUGUCGGUCGUGCCUCGGUACGCACUGGCUUAUUGGUUUCUCCCUUCUGACGAACCGUGAUGUCAUUAAUUUGGUGUCUUGGGAAAUCAGGACUGUUACUUUGAAAAAUUAGAGUGUUUAAAGCAGGCUCACGCUUGAAUACAUUAGCAUGGAAUAAUGAAAUAGGACGUUUGAUUCUAUUUUGUUGGUUUCUAGGAUCGAUGUAAUGAUUAAUAGGGAUAGUUGGGGGCAUUAGUAUUCAAUUGUCAGAGGUGAAAUUCUUGGAUUUAUUGAAGACUAACUACUGCGAAAGCAUUUGCCAAGGAUGUUUUCAUUAAUCAAGAACGAAAGUUAGGGGAUCGAAGACGAUCAGAUACCGUCGUAGUCU